rnacentral:rRNA from 1 species
CCUACGGGUGGCAGCAGUGGGGAAUAUUGCACAAUGGGGGGAACCCUGAUGCAGCGACGCCGCGUGAGUGAAGAAGUAUUUCGGUAUGUAAAGCUCUAUCAGCCGGGAAGAAAAUGACGGUACCUGACUAAGAAGCACCGGCUAACUACGGGCCAGCAGCCGCGGUAAGACGGAGGGGGCAAUCGUUAUCCGGAUUUACUGGGUGUAAAGGGAGCGCAGACGGCUGUGCAAGUCUGGAGUGAAAGGCGGGGGCCCAACCCCCGGCCUGCUCUUGAAACUGUAAGGCUGGAGUGGAGGAGAGGUAAGCGGAAUUCCUAGUGUAGCGGUGAAAUGCUUAGAGAUUAUACAGAACACCGAUUGCGAAGGCAGCUUACCAGGGUACUUCUGACGUUGAGGCACGAAAGCGUGGGGAGCAAACAGGAUUAGAUACCCGGGUAGUC